rnacentral:ncRNA from 1 species
AAAAGACUUAGUCCUAACCUUACAGUUAGUUCUUGCCAAAUAUAUACAUGCAAGUAUCCGCAUCCCAGUGAAAAUGCCCUCAGCACCUUAAAAAGACAGCAGGAGCAGGCAUCAGGCACACCACUCCAAUUGUAGCCCAAAACGCCUUGCCUAGCCACACCCCCACGGGUUUUCAGCAGUAAUCAAUAUUAAGCAAUAAGUGUAAACUUGACUUAGUUAAAGCAACUUACCAGGGUUGGUAAAUCUUGUGCCAGCCACUGCGGUCACACAAGAAACCCAAAUUAACUUUAUACGGCGUAAAGAGUGGUUUUUCAUUAUCACUUCAACUAAGACUGAAAUGUAACCAAGCUGUUAUAAGAACAAGAUGCAUCCAAUACUCCCAUAGAAAUGAUCUUAGCUUCAUGAUCAACAAAACUCCACGAAAGCCAGGACACAAACUGGGAUUAGAUACCCCACUAUGCCCGGCCCUAAAUCCUGAUGCUUUCACCACUUAAGCAUCCGCCUGAGAACUACGAGCACAAACGCUUAAAACUCUAAGGACUUGGCGGGGCUCCAAACCCACCUAGAGGAGCCUGUUCUAUAACCGAUAACCCACGAUACACCCAACCAUCCCUUGCCAAAUCAGCCUAUAUACCGCCGUCGUCAGCCCACCCCUAAACUGAGGUUUAACAGUGGGCACAACAGCAACAUCCCACUAAUAAGACAGGUCAAGGUAUAGCUCAUGAGAUGGUAGAAAUGGGCUACAUUUUCUAGCAUAGAAUACCUCACGACAAGGAGUGUGAAAUCACUCCUAAAAGGCGGAUUUAGCAGUAAAGCAGGAUAAUAAUGCCUCCUUUAAGCUGGCUCUGAAGCACGUACAUACCGCCCGUCACCCUCCUCACAAGCUAUGAUUAAUUUUAUUUAUAAUAAACCCCUAAGCUAGAGAUGAGGCAAGUCGUAACAAGGUAAGUGUACCGGAAGGUGCACUUAGUCUACC